rnacentral:rRNA from 1 species
GUCUGAGCGGAAACGAGUUAUCUGAACCUUCGGGGAACGAUAACGGCGUCGAGCGGCGGACGGGUGAGUAAUGCCUGGGAAAUUGCCCUGAUGUGGGGGAUAACUAUUGGAAACGAUAGCUAAUACCGCAUAACGUCUACGGACCAAAGAGGGGGACCUUCGGGCCUCUCGCUUCAGGAUAUGCCCAGGUGGGAUUAGCUAGUUGGUGAGGUAAUGGCUCACCAAGGCGACGAUCCCUAGCUGGUCUGAGAGGAUGAUCAGCCACACUGGAACUGAGACACGGUCCAGACUCCUACGGGAGGCAGCAGUGGGGAAUAUUGCACAAUGGGCGCAAGCCUGAUGCAGCCAUGCCGCGUGUAUGAAGAAGCCUUCGGGUUGUAAAGUACUUUCAGUCGUGAGGAAGGC